rnacentral:rRNA from 1 species
AUGUCACCAUUACUAACCAGGAACAGUGACGACGGCGUCAUUGAUCUUCUUGCCAAGGUAUGCCUCAGCGGUCUCCUUCAUCUUUCCAAGAAUCAUAGCACUGAUCUCCUCAGGGCUGAAGACCUUGGUCUCUCCAUCCUUGAUCUUGACCUGGAUGUAAGGCUUCCCCUCCUUGUUCACAAUCUUGUAGGGGACAAGUUUCAUGUCCCUCUGCACCUCCUUUGCUAUUACUUUCUUCCAAUGAGACGCUUGACGUCAAAGACGGUCCUCUCAGGGUUGACAGCCGCCUGGUUCUUGGCAGCCUCACCGAUGAGCCUCUCCCCAUCGGUGAACCCAACCCAUGAGGGCGUGAUACGGUUACCCUGGUCAUUGGCGAUAAUCUCGACAUGA